AGGCAGCAGCUAAGAAUAUUGGGCAAUGGAGGAAACUCUGAGCCAGGCAUGCCGCGUGAAUGAAGAAGGCCUUCGGGUUGUAAAGUUCUUUUAGUAGUGAAGAUGAUGACAGUAGCUACAGAAAAAGCCCCGCUAACUUCGUGCCAGCAAGCGCGGUAAUACGAAGGGUGCAAGCGUUGUUCGGAUUUACUGGGCGUAAAGCGUCUGCAGGUGGCUUGUUAAGUCAGGGGUGAAAUUCCGGGGCCCAACCCCGGAACUGCCUUUGAUACUGGCAAGCUGGAGCGUGAUAGAGGAAGAUGGAAUAUCUGGUGUAGGGGUGAAAUCCGUAGAUAUCAGAUGGAACACCAAUGGCGAAGGCAGUCUUCUGGAUCAUUGCUGACACUCAGAGACGAAAGCGUGGGGAGCAAACAGAAUUAGAUACUCUGGUAGUCCACGCCCUAAACGAUGCAUGCUUGUUGUUAGGUUCCUUCGGGGAUUUAGUGACGUAACUAACGCGUUAAGCAUGCCGCCUGGGGGGUACGAUCGCAAGAUUAAAACUCAAAGGAAUUGACGG
rnacentral:rRNA from 1 species